ACCCUCCGGUUCCCUUUCCCAUCGGAUCUGAACGCUGGUCUUGGUGGUCGUAAAAGGAGGAAAAAGAACACUGAAGCUGGCCUUGUGGUGUUUAAUAGUCUGGUAUAGAGCCUGUGGGCUAGUUUCAAACAGGG
ensembl:snoRNA small nucleolar RNA, H/ACA box 61